CUCUAGUUCAUGAUAGUGAGUACUGUUCAGAAGUAUGGUUAAACAGAUGAUUCUGAAUGUUUGGCUGAACAAAAGAAGAAAAAAAGGAGCUCUUUGUCUCACUUUUGGAUCUUUUCCCUUUGCUUAGCGAGAAAGUGGUGGCCUGCUGCCGUUUCAUCACAUGCUAUCUAUUACGCCCAUUGCAAGCAGACAGCAGACAGCAGCGACAGCGGCAACGGCUCCUUCGUCCUAGGAUCCCUCCACAGCGCAUUUUGAGUAAACCAGAAAAGCGGGGGCAACAAAACCACGCAUGCAAGGAAAUUAAAAUUCUAAACUUAAUUGGAUUUUCAUACACCCUUUAAAGAGUAACACAGGAGAGAAGACUGUUCUUGCCCUUGCAUCAGCAAUCGCCGUCCCUAAAUUGUCAGGAAAGCCAGGCUGUGAGGCGACAUGAGUGGUACAACUAGCUUGCCAUUUUGCAUAGGAAAAUGUUAUGUGCAUCCCCCGAUUUGAGAAUGUGACAAUGGAUCUUCAGGCCUAUGGCUUAGGACAUUUUUUUAUAAAAUAUUCCAUACUGUAAUUUUGUGAACUGUAUUAAUCAUGCAAAUUAUAUAUUUUGUAUGUAAAUUAUAUAGCCAAUAAUUUGUAUAAAUCAUGCUAAUAUAGAUAUGUACAUAUGAAAAGCAAUUAUUUA